CCGAGUUGUAAUUUGUAGAGGAUGCUUUUGGUGAGGUGCCGCCCGAGUUCCCUGGAACGGGACGCCACAGAGGGUGAGAGCCCCGUCUGGCUGGCCACCGAGCCUCUGUAAAGCUCCUUCGACGAGUCGAGUAGUUUGGGAAUGCUGCUCAAAAUGGGAGGUAUAUGUCUUCUAAAGCUAAAUAUUGGCCAGAGACCGAUAGCGCACAAGUAGAGUGAUCGAAAGAUGAAAAGCACCUUGAAAAGAGGGUUAAACAGUACGUGAAAUUGUUGAAAGGGAAGCGCUUGUGACCAGACUUGGGCGCGGCGGAUCAUCCGGGGUUCUCUCCGGUGCACUUCGCCGCGUUCAGGCCAGCAUCAGUUCGUCGCGGGGGAAAAAGGCUUCGGGAACGUGGCUCCUCCGGGAGUGUUAUAGCCCGUUGCAUAAUACCCUGCGGUGGACUGAGGACCGCGCAUCUGCAAGGAUGC
rnacentral:rRNA from 1 species